rnacentral:lncRNA from 1 species
CCGUCAGCAGUCGAGCCGUGUGCCGCGUCGCGGUAGCGUCGAAGAGCGUCGUUGAGCGUCGUUUGGUGCGCGUCUCGCGUGUCUCUUCGUCGUGUCGUGCGCGAGGAUGAUGACGCCUUCCUCGAUCUCGCGAUUAUGAGAGCGCCGGCGAGCCUAGUCUCGUCAAUAUUGUUUCGUGCUUAUUAUUUGUGAAAUAUAUCUUCGAUAGAGAAGAACGAAACGAUUUGAGGAAUUAGACGGUGUGUACUCGUGUAUCUAUUUUUUAUUUUUAAAUAAUCGUUGUUGCUGUCUCGUGAUCGUCGGUGAACGUUCUUCUACGCGACCGCGUGACCUCGUCGGUCUUCUCUACUCCGUGCGAAGGAGCGAGAGAGAACGGAAACAAA